rnacentral:rRNA from 1 species
GAUGAACGCUGGCGGCGUGCCUAAUACAUGCAAGUCGAGCGAACAGACGAGGAGCUUGCUCCUCUGACGUUAGCGGCGGACGGGUGAGUAACACGUGGAUAACCUACCUAUAAGACUGGGAUAACUUCGGGAAACCGGAGCUAAUACCGGAUAAUAUAUUGAACCGCAUGGUUCAAUAGUGAAAGACGGUUUUGCUGUCACUUAUAGAUGGAUCCGCGCCGCAUUAGCUAGUUGGUAAGGUAACGGCUUACCAAGGCAACGAUGCGUAGCCGACCUGAGAGGGUGAUCAGCCACACUGGAACUGAGACACGGUCCAGACUCCUACGGGAGGCAGCAGUAGGGAAUCUUCCGCAAUGGGCGAAAGCUUGACGGAGCAACGCCGCGUGAGUGAUGAAGGUCUUCGGAUCGUAAAACUCUGUUAUUAGGGAAGAACAAAUGUGUAAGUAACUAUGCACGUCUUGACGGUCCCUAAUCAGAAAGCCACGGCUAACUACGUG